rnacentral:lncRNA from 1 species
GGGCGGUCCAGGACGAGGAGUAGGCAUGGCGAUUGACGCUGGGCGGUCUUGAGGGAAACUGUCGGGCGGUGGUGAUUGCUGUCGAGCGGUUUGGAGGAUUAUGGGAAACCGCCGGGCGACACACUUAAACCGCCUGCAUAUGAAACUUAGGCAAAACCAUGAAACUUAGGCAACAAAUGUAUCAGUCCAGAGGUGAGAACGCAAUGAACAUUAAGUGCAACUGGCUCCCUAAGAGCACUCUAAAGAAUGGGAGGAUGAGUCAUAUAGUUCUCAACAUAAAAGUCAGCAGAAUAUGCAUGAGAAGCAAUAUCAAAGUUAGAUCCGGAAGGAGAAUCAUAAUCAUAGACACAGGUAGAAGAAACAGUAUCCACAUAACCAAAAUAGGUAGACAUCGGAAAGAAGGGGGAAAAGAAGAAUGCAAUGAAAAUAUGCAACUAAAGCUACCUUAAUGCAACACACAAUGACGAACACACAAAACAGAACAUCACACUCACAACACAAGACAAGACAACACACACUAACACAACAAAAGAGCUAAAAUCGAACUGUUGGUCCUCGGCAACGGCGCCAAAAUUUGAUGGGCUGUCGCAACCCAUACAAAUUUGAUUGCAUAUGAGAAAUGCAGUAUAGCUAGGGAAUGACCCGUAGGUCGUCUCUCAAGGACCAACUGCGGUUCAGAAUCAGGUCUAACACGAAGUGGGGGGGGGGUUAUGAAACGUUUUGUAAAUGCAAAUGAAUUAAUUUAAAACCUAAAAUUUAAACACAACCGAACAUAAUUGAAAGCAUUGAAGUAAAUGAAAAUUGUAAACCAACAGUCUGAUAUCAAACAGAUUAAAAAUCCCAGCUUGCGUCAACUUGGAAACAAUUGAUAAAUAAGAAAAUACAUCUUGCUGUUGGAAUAAAAGAAGCUACGCUUUCAGCAUACAUGGACAAAAUUAAAUGCACCUAAAUCUAAUGAAUCUAUCACUCCAUCACGAAAACAUCACUAAGCAAAAGGCUUGAAGGAGUAAACGGAAUUAUAAGGUGGAGAACCAAAUUCAUUGCAGCAGGAAAAAGAAGAUGCAUCCUAAAGCUAAUAAAUAAAGUACUUGAGUUAAUUAAAAUGCAUGGAAGAAAAAGCAAUUAAAUGAAAGUGCUUUGAAAUGCAAAUCCACGACAUCUAAUAUAAAACUAGCUUUAGUAAAGUGUGAAGGUAAUAUAAAAAGAAAAUAAAAAUAAAUAAUAAGAAAAACAAGUAAGGAAAAUUUUGGAGCAACUUGUGCAAUUCUCAAAUUAAAAUCACGAUCAUGUGCAUCCCAUCAUACCACCGUGACACCACUUCAUUUUUCUAAAUAAAAAUAAAACCUUCACACUUGACAUUGCAGGUCGUGUGUUGCUUCUAAAGGAAAUAAAAAAAAAAUCAAUUUUCACAUGUGCACCGUCCAGAAUGAGCUCCCUGUGUGCGCAUCCAGCAACCAUGAAAUCAGCGUGUAUUAUCUAAAGGCAAAGGAAUACAAAUUUCCACUUCCUCCUCUCGGGAACAUUCAAGGUGCUAAAUGAAAAGUAAAAAUCCUGACAACAGUUGCUUGCUUCAUUCUCCAUUUAAAAUUUAAUCCCUUACUCCAGCGUUUUCUAAACAAAAGGGUGACAGAAGUGGCAGCCAAUGCCUUGCUCAUUCCCAGCAGAAUGGAAUGCCUCGGCUGCACCUUCCUUUUC